rnacentral:rRNA from 1 species
CAGCAGCCGCGGGAAUACGAAGGGUGCAAGCGUUAAUCGGAAUUACUGGGCGUAAAGCGUGCGUAGGCGGUGAGUUAAGUCUGCUGUGAAAUCCCCGGGCUCAACCUGGGAAUGGCAGUGGAUACUGGCUCGCUAGAGUGUGUCAGAGGAUGGUGGAAUUCCCGGUGUAGCGGUGAAAUGCGUAGAGAUCGGGAGGAACAUCAGUGGCGAAGGCGGCCAUCUGGGACAACACUGACGCUGAGGCACGAAAGCGUGGGGAGCAAACAGGAUUAGAUACCCCUGUAGUCCCUGUCUCUUAUAU